AUAGGCUGGAGUUGGUUAAUUCCCUUCCCCUGGGUCUGUAAGGAUCUGAAAAAACUCCAGUAGUUUAGACUCUGAUAAAAUAGUUUCUUUUGAAGGCAAGCAUGGUUAAGAAGAACAUAGUGCUCUGGUGUAUUUCAAAAUGGUUCCUUUUUCCCUACCCCUGCUGGAAGCCUGAGGGGACUUUUCUUCAACAUUCACUGUGAUAAUCAAGCUGAGCUACUGGAGAUAAAACUCAUAAAAGUGUGGGGACCGUGCUAUAACUGGAUCCCCUGAAGUUUGGAACCCUUAGACUUGUCUUUAUGAGACGCCAUCAAAUUGUCAAUUAUGGUUUGGUUUUCCUGCUGGUUCUGGUUCCCACGGAGGUUUCUGCUUAGGCUGGUCUCUCAAUUGGCUGCUUGGGCUCCCUGUGUCAAGGUGCCUGGGUUCCAGGAGUGAGCAUCCCAAGAAAAUCAGGAAUUUCCCAUUGUAAUCAGGAUUUCGCACAUUGAAAUGCAUGUCUUCAUAUGUCCUUGAGUCUAUAAAUUGGCACACAAAGCUCAGCUCAGAAAGUCUCCUCCGUGUAGGACAGUACCUGGAGAAUAUUUUGGAUGCUGCUAAGGUAAUUGGACUCUUCCUGAGAGU